rnacentral:pre_miRNA from 1 species
UCUUGUUUGGAUCCUCCGGGCUAUUAAAUAGCCCUCCGGAAUCUUGCUAUUUAGGAUUAUUAAACGUAGAUUACCGACAAAACCGAUUCCAUAACCCCUAGGCUAUUUUGCGAGACGAAUCUAAUGAUGUAUAUUAAUCCAUAAUUAGCGGCUGAUUACUGUAGCAUCACUGUAGCAAAUCAUGGAUUAAUAUAUCUCGUUAGAUUCGUCUCGCAAAAUAGCCUAGAAGUUAUGGAAUAGGUUUUGUCAGUAAUCUACGUUUAAUACUCUUAAAUAGCAAGAUUCCAAAGGACUGUUAAAUAGCCCUUCGGAUCCAAACAGGGU